rnacentral:tRNA from 1 species
GCCGGGGUGGCGGAAUUGGUAGACGCGCUAGAUUCAGGUUCUAGUGGGGCGACCCGUGGAGGUUCAAGUCCUCUCCUCGGUA